rnacentral:rRNA from 1 species
UGGGGAAUAUUGCACAAUGGGCGAAAGCCUGAUGCAGCGACGCCGCGUGAGGGAUGACGGCCUUCGGGUUGUAAACCUCUUUCAGCAGGGACGAAGCGCAAGUGACGGUACCUGCAGAAGAAGCACCGGCUAACUACGUGCCAGCAGCCGCGGUAAUACGUAGGGUGCAAGCGUUGUCCGGAAUUACUGGGCGUAAAGAGUUCGUAGGCGGUUUGUCGCGUCGUUUGUGAAAACCAGCAGCUCACCUGCUGGCUUGCAGGCGAUACGGGCAGGCUUGCUUACUGCAGGGGAGGCUGGAAUUCCUGGUGUAGCGGUGAAAUGCGCAGAUAUCAGGAGGAACACCGGUGGCGAAGGCGGGUCUCUGGGCAGUAACUGACGCUGAGGAACGAAAGCGUGGGUAGCGAACAGG